AUGUCCGGGACGGAGGGACUGCUCCCGGGUUGUAUUGCAUAUCCCCGUGCAUUUAAUAAACAGCCACGUUGUAACGUUAUUAUUAAUCUUCCUGUUCUCCUUCCUUGCCAGGUUGUCUCUUGCCUCCUUUUCUCUCCCAGCAAAUAUAAUCUGGGGGCACCCGGGCCCCACCAGACCGGCCUCUCUGAUCACACUCAAGGAUUAACAAUCAGCUGUCCUGUGGGCAGAUGCCCUGUCUCCCAUACAGAGGAUCAAAAGGCUGGUUUGAGAAGGGAGUUCGUUUCCUGACCGGCCUCCAGGUCCUGUGAGGUCCAACCACUGACCACUGCUCCCCACUCAGCUGCAGCCACACUGGCCACUUUCUGCUUCUCAAAUAUGCAUGCCUUGUCCUCACCUCUCAUGGGUUGAACUGCAUCUCUCCCCAAAAUAUCUAGAAGCCCUUGGAACCUGUGAGUGGGAUCUUAUUUGAAAAUUAGAUCUUACAGAUGUAAUUUAAGGAUCUGGAGAUGAGGUCAUCCUGGAAUUAGGGUGGGCCGUAACCCCAAUUGACUUGGUGUCCUUACAAGAAGGUCACAUGAAGACACACGCACACAGGGAGAACUCUGAUGGGGGAGACAGGGGUUGGGGGAGGCAGCCACCAGCCGAGAAUUACCAGCAACCACCAGAAGGUGAAAAAGGUGAGGAAGGAUCCUCCCCUAAAGACUUCAGAGAGAACACCUGCUGACACCUUCAUUUUGGAUCUCUAGUCUCCAGAAGUGUGAGAAGAUACAUUUCAGUUGUUCUAACCCUCCCCCCCCCCCAUUUAUGGCAAUUUAUUACAGGAGCCCAAGGACACUAACACGUCAUCUCAGGGCCUUUGCAUGUCCUGAGCUCUUUUUUUUUUUUUUUUUUCCUUUCGUUUAUUUAUUUAUUUUUGAGGGAGACAGAGACAGCAUGAGUGGGGCAGAAAGAGAGGGAGAGAGAAAAUCCCAGGCAGGCUCCACGCUGUCAGCACAGAGCCUGAUGUGGGGUUCAAACUCACGAAACCACGAGAUCAUGACCUGAGCCCAAACCAAGAGCCAGAGGCUUAACCGACAGAGCCACCGAGGUGCCCCCCGCCGAAUUCUUCUUUCAACUCUUCACCUGAUCGAGGCCAGUUCAUCCCUUGGGCCUCAGCCUGAGAGGACACGUCCAUCUACAUUCGGUCCCGGCCGACACUGACUCUGAGUGCACCCGCCACCUUCCCCAGCGGCUUGUAACUGCCUAGACGUUUGCCUGCCUACAGGUUUAACACUUGCCCCGCCUAGAAGGUUCUCCUCAGCGGGCGGGGGCUGUGUCUGCUUUUGCUCACCGCGGUGGAUGAUGGCAGCCCCCUCCCCUGAAGGACUGUUUGCAGAGCCUCUCCCCGGCUGCAGAGAGCCGCCUUGCCCCAGGUCCUACCCCACCGUUUUGGCCUCGAUCCACCGACUGCUUGGUGUGGGGGGUUGUAGAGUCUCGGCCUCCUUGCCCUAAUUAGGGGCGACCCCGGAGUUUUGGCCGCUCUUCAAAAUUCUUUGCGAGGUCUGCGAGGUCUCUUCUGACACUGCAGUCCAGCCGGGCUCAUCCUUCCGGCCCUUCCUGCUCCUUCCCUGUCCUUGCCCGGGUUCCCCCCGGAUCCCAAGAGCACCCCCUCAUGAGCCCGCUUAUACUAAACUCCAUCUCAGACUUGGUGUCCUGAGAACCCCAUGCACAAGGAUGUCCCGACGCUGGGCGCACGCGGGAGAGCGGUACCAACUGCAUAAAAACAGUUGUUUGUGGUAAAUGAAUGAACUUGAACUGCUGUGGUCCUCCCACCCCCUCCAGGUGCCUGCCCUUAGCAUCCCAGGCCAGUCACCCUUGUCUGCCUCCCUUUCUUUCCUUCCUUCCGUCCUUCCUCCCUCCCUUCCUUCCUUCCUUCCUAGUAACGAUCUCCUAAGCCAACAGGUGGCACACUUUUUCUGUAAAGGCCGAACUAUUUGGGCUUCAUGAGCCAUGAAAGUCUCUGUCACAACCACUCAGUUCUACCAUCGUGAGCAGCCACAGACAAUACAUAAAUGAAUGAGUGUGGCUGUGUUUAUUCCAAUAAAAUGUUAAUGACGAGGCA
rnacentral:lncRNA from 1 species